AACGUAGGUGGCGAGCGUUAUCCGGAUUUACUGGGCGUAAAGGGUGUGCAGGCGGGCUGUUAAGUGGUGUAUGAAAUAUCCCGGCUCAACCGGGAGAGGUUAUGCCAGACUGGCAGUCUAGAGAGCGAGAGAGGGACGUGGAAUUCCGGGUGUAGUGGUGAAAUGCGUAGAUAUCCGGAGGAACACCAGUGGCGAAGGCGGCAUCCUGGACCGACACUGACGCUGAGGCGCGAAAGCUAGGGGAGCAAACGGG
rnacentral:rRNA from 1 species